GAUGAACGCUAGCUACAGGCUUAACACAUGCAAGUCGAGGGGAAACGACAUCGAAAUCUUGCUUUUGAUGGGCGUCGACCGGCGCACGGGUGAGUAACGCGUAUCCUACCUGCCCACCACUUGGGGCUAACCUUGCGAAAGUAAGACUAAUACCCAAUGAUAUCCCUCGAAGACAUCUGCAUGGGAUGAAAGAUUUAUCGGUUGUGGAUGGGGAUGCGUCUGAUUAGCUUGUUGGCGGGGUAACGGCCCACCAAGGCAACGAUCAGUAGGGGUUCUGAGAGGAAGGUCCCCCACAUUGGAACUGAGACACGGUCCAAACUCCUACGGGAGGCAGCAGUGAGGAAUAUUGGUCAAUGGGCGAGAGCCUGAACCAGCCAAGUAGCGUGCAGGAAGACGGCCUUAUGGUUUGUAAACUGCUUUUAUAAGGGAAUAAAGUGGGUCACGGUUGACUUGUUGCAGGUACCUUAAGAAUAAGGACCGGCUAAUUCCGUG
rnacentral:rRNA from 1 species